AGUGAACGCUGGCGGUAGGCCUAACACAUGCAAGUCGAACGGCAGCACAGUAAGAGCUUGCUCUUACGGGUGGCGAGUGGCGGACGUGUGAGGAAUACAUCGUAAUCUACUUUUUCGGGGAGGUUAAGGAAGGGAAACUUACGCUAAUACCGCAUACGCCCUACGGUUGAGAGCAUGGGAACUUCUGGCCUUGCGCGAUUGGAUGAGCCGAUGUCGGAUUAGCUGGUUGGCGGGGUAAAGGCCCACCAAGGCGACGAUCCGUAGCUGGUGUGAGUGGAUGGUAGGCGACACUGGAACUGAGACACGGUCCAGAGUACUAAGGGAGGCAGCAGUGGGGAAUAUUGGACAAUGGGCGCAAGCAUUGUACAGCCAUACCGCGUGGGUGAAGACGGCGUUCGGGUUGUAAAGCCCUUUUGUUGGGAAAGAAAAGCAGCAGGUUAAUACCACGCUGUUCUGACGGUACCCAAAGAAUAAGCACCGGCUAACUUCGUG
rnacentral:rRNA from 1 species